UACGAAGGGUGCAAGCGUUACUCGGAAUUACUGGGCGUAAAGGGCGCGUAGGCGGCCUGUUAAGUCGAACGUGAAAUCCCCCGGGCUCAACCCGGGAACUGCGUCCGAUACUGGCAGGCUUGAAUCCGGGAGAGGGAUGCGGAAUUCCAGGUGUAGCGGUGAAAUGCGUAGAUAUCUGGAGGAACACCGGUGGCGAAGGCGGCAUCCU
rnacentral:rRNA from 1 species